CACCGCGGUUAAACGAGAGGCCCUAGUUGAUGAUUGACGGCGUAAAGGGUGGUUAGGGGAUGUAAUAUAAUAAAGCCGAAUGGCCCUUUGGCUGUCAUACGCUUCUGGGUGUCCGAAGCCCAACAUACGAAAGUAGCUUUAAAAGAGUCCACCUGACGCCACGAAAGCUGAGAAACAAACUGGGAUUAGAUACCCCACUAUGCUCAGUCAUAAACCUAGACGUCCUACUACAGCUAGACGUCCGCCCGGGUACUACGAGCGCUUGGCUUGAAACCCAAAGGACCUGACGGUGCCUCAGACCCCCCUAGAGGAGCCUGUUCUAGAACCGAUAACCCCCGUUAAACCUCACCACUUCUAGCCACCCCAGCCUAUAUACCGCCGUCGUCAGCUUACCCUGUGAAGGUAAUAAAAGUAAGCACAAUGGGCACAACCCAGAACGUCAGGUCGAGGUGUAGCGCACGGAGCGGGAAGAAAUGGGCUACAUUUUCUAUUAUAGAAUAUUACGAAUAUGCAACAUGAAAUAGUGCUUGAAGGAGGAUUUAGUAGUAAAAAGGAAGCAGAGUGUCCUUUUGAACCCGGCUCUGAGGCGCGUACACACCGCCCGUCACCCUCUCCUGUCGAAUGCAAUAAGAAUACCUAAUAUAAAAGCGCUGACAAGGGGAGGCAAGUCGUAACAUGGUAAGUGUACCGGAAGGUGCACUUGGAUUAAAUUCAGGGCGUGGCUGAG
rnacentral:rRNA from 1 species